GGCACUUGGAAUGCAUUGUGAUCUAUGGUCUUAAUUCCACAAGGACCUACCAGAGGUUUAUUUUGGCAGAAGAUGACACACUGUCCUUUUCCACUUAGUGUCUCUGAGAAACAUUCCACCUAGGCAAGACAACCAAGCCUGGCUGAUGUGUUGCCAGUGGGAUAAUACGUACAAGGAUUUGGAAUCCUGUGUACUAUCUGCAUCGCCAGUAGUAAUUCUGAGAAUAAUUGAACUGCUAGUGCUGGUGGGCUCAGUGGUAAAGAACCCACCUGCCAGUACUUCCUGAUCUGUGGGUCGAGAAGAUCCUUUGGAGAAAGACAUGGCAACACACUGCAGUUUUCUUGCAUGGAAAAUCCCAUGGAUAGAGGAACCUGGCAGGCUAAAGUCCACGGGGUCACAAAGAGUUGGAUAUGAUUUAUCAACUAAACAGCAACUUAGGCUAAGCCUUUUCUCUGAACAUUCUCUCUUUUAGGCAAAUUGGUGCUAAUUCUGGGGCAGGCAGGAGCAAGCAAUCAUCACAGCCUUCUAGAGACAUCCUUGGUAUAGCUGCCCAGGGCCCCCUUGCUGUUUUGAGGCCACUCCUCCCACUUCCCCAAAUUACCACUGCCUACUUGUGAGUAGCCAGCAGUGAGUCUGCAAACAAGAAUCCUGGAGGGGGCAUCCCCUGGUCCACCAGAAGACCUGCUAGCGGGCUCAACACUCGCCAAAACCAUGCUGGAAGGAUGAGGCCAGAGGCUCGGCCCUGUUCAGUGUCUAUUUGUCAUUAGUAAGAGGCCCUUCCUGUGUGGUGGGCCUGGGAUCCAGCACUGAAGGGCCUGGAGUAGAGCGUCCGGUCCCCUGGAGGCAGGAGGCUCAUAGGAGUUGGAUAAGACACACGGGCUUUUCAUGGUGGUGUCACUUGGCUGCCAGCAGGGUGGGCCACCUAGGACUACACCCCCACCCCACCCCCCGCCUGUCCAAAAUGUUGAACAGACUGGAGGGAAACAGGCAGGAGGCAGAGUGCAGCCACUCCGAGACAGCACCUUGAGCUGAACAGUCUCCCUCCCUCCCAGUUUCCUAAGGUUUUGGAGCAGUUGAUUUCCCAUGGAAACAAGCAGAAAUCUGUUUUAAUCAUCGGGCAUUUUUAGUUUCCUAAUUUGUAUGGGAACCUGGAGAUACUGACAUAUGGUACAUUCAUCGUCCUGGAAAGCUACAGCUGAAAGAAAAAUAGUUAAAGCCAGUCUUAAAACUGGAACGCUUCUUCAUAUGCCUUCAAAUGACUUUCCUUAAUCAGA
ensembl:lncRNA